rnacentral:rRNA from 1 species
AGAGUUUGAUCAUGGCUCAGAUUGAACGCUGGCGGCAGCCCUUAUACAUGCAAGUCGAACGAGAAAGUUCCUUCGGGAGCGAGUAAAGUGGCGGACGGGUGAGUAACGCGUAGGAAUCUACCUUUCAGUGGGGGAUAGCUCGGGGAAACUCGAAUUAAUACCGCAUACACCCUUCGGGGGAAAGGGGGCCUCUCCUUGGAAGCUCUCGCUGUUAGAUGAGCCUGCGUGAGAUUAGCUUGUUGGUAAGGUAAUGGCUUACCAAGGCUACGAUCUCUAGCUGGUCUGAGAGGACGAUCAGCCACACUGGGACUGAGACACGGCCCAGACUCCUACGGGAGGCAGCAGUAGGGAAUAUUGGACAAUGGGGGCAACCCUGAUCCAGGCAUGCCGCGUGUGUGAAGAAGGCUUUAGGGUUGUAAAGCACUUUAAGUGAGGAAGAAAAGAUUUAAAUUAAUACUUUAAGUCCCUGACAUUACUCACAGAAUAAGGACCGGCUAACUCCGUGCCAGCCGCCGCGGUAAUAC